rnacentral:rRNA from 1 species
UACGUAGGGGGCAAGCGUUGUCCGGAUUUAUUGGGCGUAAAGAGCGUGUAGGCGGUCAGGUAGGUCCGUUGUGAAAACUCGAGGCUCAACCUCGAGACGCCGAUGGAAACCAUCUGACUAGAGUCCGGAAGAGGAGAGUGGAAUUCCUGGUGUAGCGGUGAAAUGCGCAGAUAUCAGGAAGAACACCCGUGGCGAAGGCGGCUCUCUGGGACGGUACUGACGCUGAGGCGCGAAAGCGUGGGGAGCGAACAGG